rnacentral:misc_RNA from 1 species
GAUGAAGAACGUAGCGAAAUGCGAUAAGUAAUGUGAGUUGCAGAAUUCAGUGAAUCAUCGAAUCUUUGAACGCACAUUGCGCCCGCCAGUAUUCUGGCGGGCAUGCCUGUCCGAGCGUCAUUUCAACCCUCGCGCCCAUCUGGGCUGCGGUGUUGGGGACCGGCCUGCCCCCCCGGGGCGCGCCGCCCCCCAAAUUCAGUGGCGGUCUCGCUGCAGCCUCCCUUGCGUAGUAGCACACCUCGCACCGGAGCGCAGCGCGGCCACGCCGUAAAACCCCCGACCCCCAUGAGUUUGACCUCGGAUCAGGUAGGAAUACCCGCUGAACUUAAGCAUAUCAAUAAGCGGAGGA